rnacentral:rRNA from 1 species
CGCUAGCGGCAGGCUUAACACAUGCAAGUCGAGGGGCAUCAUGACUGAACUUUCGGGUUCGGUUGAUGGCGACCGGCGCAAGGGUGCGUAACGCGUGAGCAACUUGCCCUUAUCAGGAGGAUAACCGUUGGAAACGACGACUAAUACUCCAUAGCACAUAUUUGAGGCAUCUCUCAUAUGUUAAAGAACUUCGGAUAAGGAUAGGCUCGCGUGACAUUAGCUGGAUGGCGGGGUAACGGCCCACCAUGGCGACGAUGUCUAGGGGUUCUGAGAGGAAGGUCCCCCACACUGGAACUGAGACACGGUCCAGACUCCUACGGGAGGCAGCAGUGAGGAAUAUUGGUCAAUGGCCGAGAGGCUGAACCAGCCAUGCCGCGUGAAGGUGACGGCCCUAUGGGUCUUAAACUUCUUUUGUAAGGGAGCAAUAAGGUUCACGUGUGGACUGAUGAGAGUACCUUACGAAUAAGCAUCGGCUAACUCCGUGCCAGCAGCCGCGGUAAUACGGGGGAUGCGAGCGUUAUCCGGAUUUAUUGGGUUUAAAGGGUGCGUAGGCGGCCUGUUAAGUCAGCGGUGAAAUUCAGGGGCUCAACCUCUGCCGUGCCGUUGAUACUGGCGGGCUAGAAUGCGGAUGCCGUUGGAGGAAUGUGUGGUGUAGCGGUGAAAUGCAUAGAUAUCACACAGAACACCGAUUGCGAAGGCAUCUGACGAAUCCGCAAUUGACGCUGAUGCACGAAAGCGUGGGGAUCAAACAGGAUUAGAUACCCUGGUAGUCCACGCUGUAAACGAUGAUGACUAACCGUCGGCGAUACACUGUCGGUGGCCAAGCGAAAGCGAUAAGUCAUCCACCUGGGGAGUACGACCGCAAGGUUGAAACUCAAAGGAAUUGACGGGAGCCCGCACAAGCAGUGGAGUAUGUGGUUUAAUUCGACGCAACGCGAAGAACCUUACCAGGACUUGACAUCCCGAGAACCCGACGUAAUGGUUGGGGUGCUCCUUCGGGAGAAUUCGGAGACAGGUGGUGCAUGGUUGUCGUCAGCUCGUGUCGUGAGAUGUUGGGUUAAGUCCCGCAACGAGCGCAACCCCUACGGUUAGUUGCUACGCAAGAGCACUCUGGCCGGACUGCCGUUGACAAAACGGAGGAAGGUGGGGACGACGUCAAAUCAUCAUGCCCCUUACGCUCUGGGCUACACACGUACUACAAUGGCGCAAACAAAGGGGAGCGAAGCCGCGAGGCGGAGCAAAUCCCAAAAAAGGCGCCCCAGUUCGGACUGCAGGCUGCAACUCGCCUGCACGAAGUUGGAAUUGCUAGUAAUCGCGGAUCAGCAUGCCGCGGUGAAUACGUUCCCGGGCUUUG